GGCACAGGGAAACACAGAUUAGAAUCAGACUCAAAACUGCUUUUCAGAGAUGAGAGGUCAACUAACUGCUGGAGCAGAGUCUACAUUCUGGCAGAGGCUGUGUGGAAUGACUGGUCUUUUAUGGAGGAGGAGUAAUUAGUGGUAACGCUUCUCAGCUGCUCUGGAUUCAGUGGGAGAGAGAUUGGUGAUUGGUUGCAGCUGGAGAAGGUGGUUCUGUGAGCAGGGAGAGUGAGAGGGGAGAGAGAGAGCUGAAUCAGGUGGUGGCAGAGGAGGAGGCCCUGAUACCUGGAGAAAAAGCAAGAUGAAGAACAGCAGGUAUGUAACCAUCACACUAUUUUAGGAUUUUGAAACCAUAUUUUAAAAAAACACUCCUGCAUUUAAUAUCUGCAGAGUUUGACAUUAUUGAUUAGUGUUUGAUUCAAUUUGUAAAUCUAAUUCUAAUCAAGUGGAGGAGUUCAAGUACAUUGGGGUCUUGUUCACAAGAUUUGGAAAAAUUGAGUGAGAUUGACAGUGCUGAGCCGAAAGGUGAGGCUAUUGAUUUACCAGUCAGUCUAUACUCCCACCAUCACCUAUGGUCAUGAACAUUGGGUCUUGACCAGAAAAGCAAAAUCCUGGAUACAAGGGACUGAAUUGAGCUUCCUCCACAGGGUGUCAGGGCGCUCCUGUAGAGGUAUGGUGAGGAGCUCUGUCACCCAGGAGGAGCUUGAAGGAGAGCUGCUGUUCCUCCACAUCGAGAGGAGUCAGCUGAGGUGGCUCAGGCAUUUGUAUCGCAAAAGGAGACCCUGAGGAAGACCCAGGACAUGCUGGAGUGACUAUGUCACCCAGCUGUCCUGGGAACAAAUUGUGGGCCCCCUGAAAGAGCUGGAGGUAGUGCUCAAGGAGAGGGAAGUUUUGGUGUCUCUACUCAGACUGCUGUUCCCGUGUCUAGCAGCACCACAUUAAGCAGAAAAUAAUGGAUGGAUGAUUGUUUUGUACAUUUUAAUAUCAUUACAUAAAUAAUUGAUAUACUUUUUCCCCAGCUACAAUCACUCUGGAAAAAAACAACAACAAAGUGGUAGUUGCUGUAAUAGCAUCUGUCAACUUGGAAGGCCACAACUUUCACAUACAUCACAGUGAUCUGUGUUCACUGCGACCUCACCAGUGGCUGACAGGGGAGCUGGUGUAAUCCUUUUUGGAACAAGAGACAUGGUCAGACAACACAGCCUGCGAAGGACAGACUUCAACGACUAUGAGGCCAUACUGUCAUUUGUACAUGUUGGGGGAGUUCACUGGAAGUUACCAGCGGUGUUCUUGCUGGACCCGAUGGCAAAUAAAUCAGAGCAAGCUGAGACUGCAGAUGCUGCAAAAAGAAUUUGG